rnacentral:rRNA from 1 species
UACGUAGGGGGCAAGCGUUGUCCGGAUUUAUUGGGCGUAAAGAGCGUGUAGGCGGCCAGAUAGGUCCGUUGUGAAAACUCGAGGCUCAACCUCGAGACGCCGAUGGAAACCAUUUGGCUAGAGUCCGGAAGAGGAGAGUGGAAUUCCUGGUGUAGCGGUGAAAUGCGCAGAUAUCAGGAAGAACACCCGUGGCUAAGGCGGCUCGCUAGUACGGUACUGACGCUGAGACGCGAAAGCGUGGGGAGCGAACAGG